rnacentral:lncRNA from 1 species
GUAAAGAUACCCUCUUUUAUGCUUAUCUUUUUUUUCCAGCCUUGCUCUUGGGGCAGCCAGUAGAGGUAAGAGUCUAAACUUCACGGGUCUAAGUGAAAUUACCCGUGAGUUGAAAUUGAAAUUGAAAUUGAAAAUCCUUUGCAGUUUCAGAAAUAGUCCAACGCGUUUCCUCCUCCUAGAAGAAGCAGUACAACUCUACCCAGACGACCAUCUCCUAGAUCUCCCUCUCAUCAUUCUAAGUCUUUAUCAAAAUGGUACUAGCUUCUUUCUUCAAUUUCAUAAGAUUCUCUUCGUUUUGCUUUACCUUUUUCACAAGUUCAAGAAUUACUAUAACGCAUGGAGAAACUUGCCUCAGUUUCCUGUUUAAUACAAUUUCUGCUAAUACCCUUUUGGAGUUCUUUAAUACUGCUUGGAUGCUAUUAAUCCUUCUUUUCUUCCUUUUGAUUUUUUUUGCAGACUUAUUUAGAAGAAAGAUCAACGGUAAUGAUUCUAGUCUUUUUGAAUGUCCUUUUCUUUAAAUAUUUUUAUUUAUGUUUAUGUGAAGGUGUUGAUCUUUUGUUGGUAGCUUUCUUUGUUUGAGGUAAAAGGAAAUAGAUUGUUGUUGGAAAGGACCCAAAGGCUGAGCUAUGAUUUCAACUUUAUGAGUUUCUGAAAUUUAGAAGAUAACUUCAAGUAUUAGUAAUUGAGUUCUAAAUUUAAUGUUUGUACAUAUUUACCGGGGUGUACAAUUACGACCCUAGUAAUAAUUAUGCACGGCUUUU